CAAACUACGAGCUCCCAUUGAUGAAGCUAACAGCUGUGACAUUCAGUUUGCCGAGCACCUUUCCAUUUGCAAUUUAUCUGCAUCAAAUGGUCAAUAAGUGAGAAGUUCUCUUCAGUGCAUGUAGCUUUGAUUUUAAAAGAGAAAAAAGAAAGAAAGAAAGAAAACUCCAGCCACAGGAGGAAAAACAAGUUAGCUCUUUAAUAUGAGAAUGAAGCCGGGAGAGCUGUGACGUGGCACAGCAACGACCAAGCAGGGGACUUUGAUUCCCUGAUUCCUGAGCUGUUUGAAAGGAGCGGUGGCGGCCGCCUGGGAAGCCUCUGGGCAGAGCUGCGAUGAAGCCAGCUCCUCCGGGCACCUACGUUGCUUCCUUCCCCGAGACCCGAAGGUUCUCCAGGGGCGGGUUCUCUGCCGGCCUCACUGCUUGUCAUGGAUGGAGAGCCGGCGCCCAUACAGCACCUGGACUCGGGCUGCUUGGCUUCCUGGCAGCCCCCAAGGGCCUUCUGUCCCUCACUCCACAAAGACAGGCCACUCGCGGGCGCAGAGACAAUGAGACACUUUCCAAUGUUUCAUUGAUUUAUUUUUAAGAACCCUUCACUUGUUCCAAGCACAGGCCAAUCAAGUCUCUAUUUCUGUCCGGCCCAGGGAUUACUGAAUGGCCUCUCACCCGAGGGCGAAAAGGCCCCUUUCGCGCCGGGCAGACCCCGUCCCCACCCGCCAUGGGGCGCGGUGAUCUCUCUCAAGAGCAGCGUCGCGCUCUGUUUCUGUGGGCCAACGUCUUUCUGCCACCAGGAGCCUGUCUUACAGCUUCCCUCCACUCCUUAAACCAUCACUCCGCUCUAAUUAAUAUUUCAACAGUUCUGUUUUCAAGAGGAAACGGUGCAGAAGAGAAUUUAUAAAUGCAGAGACAUCCUGUUUUGCCACAUCCAUUAACCAGAGAGAAUUGUCUCUUCAUCCUUCCCUUUAACUUGCUUUGUUAGUGCCAUAUAAUGGGUCGCACUCAAGAAGGUGUUACU
rnacentral:lncRNA from 1 species